AUUGAACGCUGGCGGCAUGCCUUACACAUGCAAGUCGAACGGCAGCACGGGCUUCGGCCUGGUGGCGAGUGGCGAACGGGUGAGUAAUACAUCGGAACGUGCCCUGUCGAGGGGGAUAACUAGUCGAAAGAUUACCUAAUACCGCAUACGACCUGAGGGUGAAAGCGGGGGACCGUAAGGCCUCGCGCGAUAGGAGCGGCCGAUAUCUGAUUAGCUAGUUGGUGGGGUAAGAGCCUACCAAGGCGACGAUCAGUAGCUGGUCUGAGAGGACGAUCAGCCACAAUGGGACUGAGACACGGCCCAGACUCCUACGGGAGGCAGCAGUGGGGAAUUUUGGACAAUGGGGGCAACCCUGAUCCAGCAAUGCCGCGUGUGUGAAGAAGGCCUUCGGGUUGUAAAGCACUUUUGUCCGGAAAGAAAUCGCGCUGGUUAAUACCUGGCGUGGAUGACGGUACCGGAAGAAUAAGCACCGGCUAACUACGUGCCAGCAGCCGCCGUAAUAC
rnacentral:rRNA from 1 species